GAGCGCAACCCCUAUUGUUAGUUGCCAUCAUUCAGUUGGGCACUCUAGCGAGACUGCCGGUAAUAAACCGGAGGAAGGUGGGGAUGACGUCAAAUCAUCAUGCCCCUUAUGACCUGGGCUACACACGUGCUACAAUGGUUGGUACAACGAGUUGCGAGUCGGUGACGGCGAGCUAAUCUCUUAAAGCCAAUCUCAGUUCGGAUUGUAGGCUGCAACUCGCCUACAUGAAGUCGGAAUCGCUAGUAAUCGCGGAUCAGCACGCCGCGGUGAAUACGUUCCCGGGCCUU
rnacentral:rRNA from 1 species